AAUUUUAUUAUAUCAUUCAUUAAUUCAUUGUAUUUCUAUAUUUUAUAUGUCUCUUUGUGGUUCAGUUUCACAUUUGGGAAGUUUCAUAGAACUGUUCUGUCUGUGUGUAAACAAGAUAGAUAAAGAGAAUGUUUAUGGAAGCUCAAGGUCUAAGGGAUGAUGCAGCUGAGCAAUUUGGAUAUAACAAGUGCAUGCUGUAUUCCUGGGUAGACGGGGGUAGACGGGGUGGACGAGGUUUGAACAUUGAGAUGUAACUGUCCAUCAAUAAAACUCUGUUCUAUUUUAUCAUCUAAAACCUCCGUCUCACGACUCUGUUUACGCCUCUGUUUAUGCUCUCUUCUAGCAACAAUUGAUCAGCCUUGUAUCUGACAGAUACUUUAACAAAGUAAACUUAUAUUUUCUGACGUGAUCUGGUGUCCGGGGCUGGAUCGUUAUAUUUUUUCUGUGGUGUGGAGACCAGAUCUAACAGUUUUGGCGUAGUCGGCAGGAUACAAUAACAUUUUUGUUGUCUCUAUCCGAACGAGGAGUCGGGAUUUUGUCUCGCACAUCCAGAUGGAAAUGUUUCCAGACCACUGGCUUCUGACUCCAAGCCGCGAGUGACGAUGGGAGUUAACCUCGGCUGGUCCGGUGUCCUCUCUCCUGACUCAUCCACUUAAGCAAAAGCAAGAAGAUAUAUGUCGGCGGCCUUCAAGAAAUUCGCUGAAAAAUAAAGCCUUAUCAUGUUUACGAGUCUACUUGGUGCCAACCUCCAGCAGACAGCAGUUGGAACUCCGCUGUACUUCGAGAUUCUGCCGGAAGGACGGACUGGCGAGACUUCGUGGAUUCCGGUUGAUUCCAUGAACAGAGACAUUCUGAGUUUUAAGAAUCACAACUGACAUGGUUGCAAGUGUUGUCUUCAUGACAUGACAGAGUCAGAGAUAUAUUAGAUGUGAUGUGUGUUUCACAUCUGUUCAGAAUGAUUCAUGGAUUCACUCUUAAUGUAUGCACUCAGUAUUUGUAUUGGCUAUUUAUUAACAUAUGUACCGGGUUUUUGUUUUGAAAAUUAAGCCACUUGGCUGUUAUACAAGCUUUAUCCAGAUUAAAACCAGGUCAUUUUUAAUUAUGACGCUGAAGUGUAUGAGCCAAAUUAACACAAACACAAUGUUAUUUGCUGUGUUGAUUUCUAUUCUGAUUCACGAUUCAGAUCCAUUAUUCCAUCCAUGAUAAGAAAUCACAAUAAUCUUAAUUCGGCAGUAACUCUAUAGCUCAUACAUACACUAAGAUGCCUAAUAUUUCCAAUUGUUGGAUAUGUCAAUCUUUUCUUCAAAAAUCUACAUCUGUAUGUACGUCCAUUACCGCUGUCUGAUUUAAUCUCCAUCAUUGAACGAAGUAACAUGGGUAACAUUUGUAAAAUUGUAAUUGAUUUAAUAAUCGACAUCUCUAUUCAAUCUUUGAACACUCUUUUGGUAGUCCCCAGUUCAUGGUUUUGGUAUCAAAGUUGCAACCUUACCAGAUAAUUUGUUUAUCUUACUAUGCCCUAUUGCUGGGAAGAGAUGCUGAAAAUGGCUGAAAUUGUUAAAGUUGGAAAUGGCCAUAGCAUAGGCAUUUAGGGAUGGUAAAGAGUAUAUUUUCAUGAUUUUGGGGGGAUUCUAAUUGUACCAAAUCAUAAGGCGAAGUUGGUGUCAAGUGUAUUAUUAUUGAACCACUGAUAAUGUCAAAUCCUUACAGAUGUGUUUUUAAGGUUGUCGAUUAUUCAUGGAAAGCAGUCUGCUAUCCAUAAGCAGUGUUUGCCACUACAAAAAGUUAUCUUAUCCAAGUAAUUCCUAGUAUUUGCCUGUGUACAACAGUACUGAAUCAAACCAUCGAUUUGCUCUAAAUUAAAUUUAAAGGGAAUUCUUUAUGGUAUUGAAGGAAACGGGGUAAACAUUACAAACUAGAAAUGCGUUUCCAGUUUUCCAGAUGUGACAAAGCUCUUCUGAUAAUGACAAAUGAAACACUAAUUGCUUUUAAUGGUACACACUUCGUUUGUGGUAACAAAACUUAUCCAUUACUUCCUAAGGGCUGAAAGGUAACCUGUACCUUUUAACAGCGAUGUGAGUAGUGUCAGAGGAUUAUGUGAAGCAGAACUUAAUCAUUAGAUAUACGUUCGAUUUCUGAUACUGAGAAAUGUUUAGGAAGACUUGUUCCAUUCUGAGAAGUAACUGAUUUACAAAACGAAGUACACACAUUAAAUGAAGCAUUUGAAGCUACAGCGAAUGUCACUUUCAUUUCUAUUGCUAAUAUUUCGGAUGAAUUAAAUGCAAUUAGAAAAGUUGUUUUGCGAAAUCAAAUGGCACUUGACAUGCUGUUGGCUUCUGAGGGGAGCACAUGUAAUUGUAAUUGCGACCGAAUGUUAUGUUGCCUACAUUCCGGAAGAUUCUGGGAAAGUGGUUGAUAAUCUGGCUAAAGUUUUGCACAAACGAAUAGCUAAGCUAAGUAAAAACCAUAGUCUUUUCUCAUCUGACUGGUUUACAUCAAUAUUAGAACCACUUUGAAAUCAUUUAAAAACCACCUUUGGUCGUCGCAAUUUCAAAAGUGUUUGUCAUCUUGCUCUUGUACAUAAGAGUCAUAAGAGUGUUGUUUUGUCUUAUUAGACACUUGACUGUGACAGGCCCAUCAAGGCCAUUAUUCAGUAUAAGACAUACUCCCUCAACCGACGCUGGUACGCGGAAACACAGAAAUGACCUGUUCUUUUAAGAGCAUGUAGAAGGGAAAAGUAAGGACUGGCCAUCCAAGCUUUUUAAAGCUGUGUUUUGAUAAAGAUUAUGAAAGUUUGCUUGCUAUAAUCAUUUAAUUUUGUCUUAUAUGAUUAAGAGGGGGGAGUGAAGGAUCCUACCUUAGAUCCUCACAUGCAGAAUGUUUUUAUUAUUGUGUUUUUUUUUAGUUUAUUCCUAAUCAUUUAUUUACAUAAUCAUUUUAUAAUCAUUAGUUAUCCAUAUAAUUGUUUAUUUAAUUAUUUAAUAUUAUUUUAUCAUUAUCAAUUUCAUUAUUAUCAUUUUUAUUAUUACAUUAUUGUUUUUUAUUCAUUAUUCAUUCAUUAUUAUAUUUCUAUAUUUUAUUAUAUCAUUCAUUAAUUCAUUGUAUUUCUAUAUUUUAUAUGUCUCUUUGUGGUUCAGUUUCACAUUUGGGAAGUUUCAUAGAACUGUUCUGUCUGUGUGUAAACAAGAUAGAUAAAGAGAAUGUUUAUGGAAGCCCAAGGUCUAAGGGAUGUUACAGCUGAGCAAUUUUGGUUAUAACAAGUGCAUUCUGUAUUCCUGGGGUGGACGAGGUUUGAACAUUGAGGCAUAUGCAACUGAAACUAACUGUCCAUCAAUAAAACUCUGUUCUAUUUUAUCAUCUAAAA